rnacentral:rRNA from 1 species
CGUAGAGUUUGAUCCUGGCUCAGGAUGAACGCUAGCGGGAGGCCUAACACAUGCAAGCCGAGCGGUAGAUGUCCUUCGGGACAUUGAGAGCGGCGCACGGGUGCGUAACACGUGUGCAACCUACCUUUAUCAGGGGGAUAGCCCGAAGAAAUUCGGAUUAAUACUCCAUAAUAUGAGUCAAGGCAUCUUGAUUUAUUGAAAACUCCGGUGGAUAAAGAUGGGCACGCGCAAGAUUAGAUAGUUGGUGAGGUAACGGCUCACCAAGUCUACGAUCUUUAGGGGGCCUGAGAGGGUGAUCCCCCACACUGGUACUGAGACACGGACCAGACUCCUACGGGAGGCAGCAGUGAGGAAUAUUGGACAAUGGGUGAGAGCCUGAUCCAGCCAUCCCGCGUGAAGGACGACGGUUCUAUGGAUUGUAAACUUCUUUUAUAUAGGGAUAAACCUACUUACGUGUAA